rnacentral:rRNA from 1 species
UACGUAGGGCGCAAGCGUUAUCCGGAAUUAUUGGGCGUAAAGAGUUCGUAGGCGGUUUGUCGCGUCUGCUGUGAAAGUCCGGGGCUCAACUCCGGAUCUGCGGUGGGUACGGGCAGACUAGAGUGAUGUAGGGGAGACUGGAAUUCCUGGUGUAGCGGUGAAAUGCGCAGAUAUCAGGAGGAACACCGAUGGCGAAGGCAGGUCUCUGGGCAUUAACUGACGCUGAGGAGCGAAAGCAUGGGGAGCGAACAGG